rnacentral:rRNA from 1 species
UGAGGAAUAUUGGUCAAUGGGCGCAAGCCUGAACCAGCCAUCCCGCGUGCAGGAAGACGGCGCUAUGCGUUGUAAACUGCUUUUCCAGGGGGAGAAACUUGCGCACGUGUUGCGCAAUUGACGGUACCCUGGGAAUAAGCAUCGGCUAACUCCGUGCCAGCAGCCGCGGUAAUACGGAGGAUGCGAGCGUUAUCCGGAUUCAUUGGGUUUAAAGGGUGCGUAGGCGGAUUAUUAAGUCAGUGGUGAAAUCCUGCAGCUUAACUGCAGAACUGCCAUUGAUACUGAUAGUCUUGAGUUUGGUUAAGGUAGGCGGAAUGUGUAAUGUAGCGGUGAAAUGCUUAGAUAUUACACAGAACACCAAUUGCGUAGGCAGCUUACUGAGCCGACACUGACGCUGAGGCACGAAAGCGUGGGGAUCGAACAG